rnacentral:lncRNA from 1 species
UAAUAUGAAUUAAUGAUAGAUAAAAAUGAUAAUUUCGAAUCCGUUUGGAUAUUGUAUAAAAUAUACUAAUAUUAUUCGAUAUAAAUAUUAUUUGAAAAGUGCUUUUAGAGCAGGGUUGCUGUGUGCUCAGGAGCAGGAAGGCCUCCGUGCUCCUGAGCCGUUUUCGAUGAUGGAGUUUUCAAAUCGACGAUCGGUUCCGUUAAACUUGAUCUAGCGUAUUUGAAAUUUCUAGAAAAUAAUUUUUGCGAUUUUUCGAUAUCAUUUACUUAGCAAUCGAAUGGAUUCAAAAUCAAUAAUUUUUAACGGCUGAAAAUAAAAAUUCUAAAAAGUGAUGAUAUAGCACUAAAAUUUUUUAUCAGAAAUAUUGAUCUUGUUGUAGAUAGUAUAAAAAAUUUUGUAUCAAAAUUUCAUCUGAUUUGAAUACUUCUACACCGUUAAACUUGAAAACGGCAGAUAUCAAUCAUUAAAAAUUAUGGAUUUUGAAUUCUUUCGAUCACUAGGUAAAUGAUAUCAAAAAAUUAUAAAAAUUAUUUUUUAGAAACUUCAAAUGCGCUAGAUUAAGUCUAACGGAGCCGAUCGUCGAUUCGAAAAUUUGAUUUAUUUUUAUUUAUUAUCAAGUGAUC